GACGAACGCUGGCGGCGUGCUUAACACAUGCAAGUCGAACGAAGUGGCGAACGGGUGAGUAACGCGUAAUCAACCUGCCCUUCAGAGGGGGACUACAGUUGGAAACGACUGCUAAUACCGCAUACUGAAGGAGGGGCUUGCGUCUGAUUAGCUAGUUGACGGGGUAACGGCCCACCAAGGCGAUGAUAAGUAGCCUGGCGGGGAGGAGGAACGGCACAAGUGGGACUGGGACAAGGCCCAGACUCCUACGGGAGGCAGCAGGUGGGAAUAUUCCGCAAAGGACGAAAGUCUGACGGAGCAACGCCGCGGGAGUGAUGACGGCCUUCGGGUUGUAAAGCUCUGUUAAUCGGGACGCGGUACCGGAAGAGAAAGCAACGGCUAACUACGUGCCAGCAGCCGCGGUAAUUC
rnacentral:rRNA from 1 species